GAUGAACGCUGGCGGCGUGCUUAACACAUGCAAGUCGAACGGUGAAGGCGGAGCUUGCUCUGCUGGAUCAGUGGCGAACGGGUGAGUAACACGUGAGCAAUCUGCCCCUGACUCUGGGAUAAGCGCUGGAAACGGCGUCUAAUACUGGAUACGAGCUGCGAAGGCAUCUUCAGCAGCUGGAAAGAAUUUCGGUCAGGGAUGAGCUCGCGGCCUAUCAGCUUGUUGGUGAGGUAAUGGCUCACCAAGGCGUCGACGGGUAGCCGGCCUGAGAGGGUGACCGGCCACACUGGGACUGGGCCACGGCCCAGACUCCUUCGGGAGGCAGCAGUGGGGGAUAUUGCACAAUGGGCGAAAGCCUGAUGCAGCAACGCCGCGUGAGGGCCGACGGCCUUCGGGUUGUAAACCUCUUUUAGCAGGGAAGAAGCGAAAGUGACGGUACCUGCAGCAACAGCGCCGGCUAACUACGUG
rnacentral:rRNA from 1 species